CAAUGAAGGAUAUAUGGUAAUGUGUACAUAAAUUGAAUUGGGUCUCUAAGCCUACCCUUUCUGAUGUCAUUCGGCUUUGAUUUGAGGGCAUGAUUCCGCAGCAAAAAA